rnacentral:rRNA from 1 species
CGAGUCAUUGUAGCAUACAAGGCAUACGGCUCAGUAACGCGUAGUCCACCUAACCUAUGGACGGGAAUAACCUCGGGAAACUGAGAAUAAUGCCCGAUAGAACAUUAUGCCUGGAAUGGUUUAUGUUCCAAAUGAUUUAUCGCCGUAGGAUGGGACUGCGGCCUAUCAGUUUGUUGGUGAGGUAAUGGCCCACCAAGACUAUUACAGGUACGGGCUCUGAGAGGAGUAGCCCGGAGAUGGGUACUGAGACACGGACCCAGGCCCUAUGGGGCGCAGCAGGCGAGAAAACUUUGCAAUGUGCGAAAGCACGACAAGGUUAAUCCGAGUGGUUUCUGCUAAAGAAACCUUUUGUCAGUCCUAGAAACACUGAUGAAUAAGGGGUGGGCAAGUUCUGGUGUCAGCCGCCGCGGUAAAACCAGCACCUCAAGUGGUCAGGAUGAUUAUUGGGCCUAAAGCAUCCGUAGCCGGCUUUGUAAGUUUUCGGUUAAAUCUGUACGCUCAACGUACAGGCUGCCGGGAAUACUGCAGAGCUAGGGAGUGGGAGAGGUAGACGGUACUCGGUAGGAAGGGGUAAAAU